rnacentral:rRNA from 1 species
GACCUCCGAUCAAGAAGA